rnacentral:rRNA from 1 species
AGGACGAACGCUGGCGGCGUGCUUAACACAUGCAAGUCGAGCGGAAAGGCCCUUCGGGGUACUCGAGCGGCGAACGGGUGAGUAACACGUGAGCAACCUGCCCCUGGCUCUGGGAUAGCCUCCGGAAACGGGGAUUAAUACCGGACAUUCACUUCCUUCCGCAUGGUUGGUGGUGGAAAGUUUUUUCGGCCGGGGAGGGGCUCGCGGCCUAUCAGCUUGUUGGCGGGGUAACGGCCCACCAAGGCGACGACGGGUAGCCGGCCUGAGAGGGCGACCGGCCACACUGGGACUGAGACACGGCCCAGACUCCUACGGGAGGCAGCAGUGGGGAAUAUUGCGCAAUGGGCGGAAGCCUGACGCAGCGACGCCGCGUGGGGGAUGAAGGCCUUCGGGUUGUAACCCCUUUCACCAGGAGCGAAUCAAGACGGUACCUGGGGAAGAAGCGCCGGCUAACUACGCGCCAGCAGCCGC